AAAGUGCGACAAGUGUCAUGACUUGCAGAUACCAGAGAGCUGACAAAUUUCUGAAUGCAAAUUGCAGCCAACUUAAAAUGGCUAUGCAUUGCAGAGAGUACUUCGCUUAUGCGCUCCAUCCAGGGAUGGUUUAUUCCUUGGGCUCUGCAGACAUGCUCCCCAUUAUACUGGGCAGGGCGUGGAGUGAAAGUUAGAAAACAAAUGUUUUCCCGAACUUACGAUGAAGACAAGUUAAACUUAUCUUCUCACCAUUCACCUCUGCAAUGCAGGAGAACCCGCUGAACUUAA
rnacentral:misc_RNA from 1 species